rnacentral:rRNA from 1 species
UUUGAAGAGAGAGUUCAAUAGUACGUGAAACUGCUCAGAGGUAAACGGAUGGGCCCACGAAAUCCUGUGGCGGGAGGAUUCAGUCAGACGGUGCGGUGCGCCAAAGUCUCGCAUACAGAGAUCUGCCCUUAGGAUGGCAGACUGACGCGAGUCGAGUGCCCGCUGCCGGACGACGCAUUUGCUUCCCGUCCGAAGGACGCCGCGACCGGUUGGUGAGCGGCCGUAAAGGUAGCCCGCGGGCAGGUAAUUGGCAACGUUCUGGCUUAAUUGUCGUUCUUGUCAGCGUUAUAGCCUGGGCACGCCGCAUGGCACGCGAGCCGACCGUGGUGUCGCUAGGCCCUCUCAUGGGUCUUGAUGCCGUCUCCUCCUUUUGGUAUUGCGGACGCCGGCGACAGUGGUUUGGAUGACCCGCUACGGGCGCACGGAGCGGAAACCGUGGCCCGCGGGGCGCCGCCCUUGUUGGUUGCCAGGCUUGCAUCCGUAUUUGUGGAGGUUGGCGGUCAGCGGCGAGUAGAUCGGUCACCCAUCCGACCC